rnacentral:rRNA from 1 species
UAUCAGUGUUUAAUUGACGGAAGUUUGAGGCAAUAACAGGUCUGUGAUAUCCUUAGAUGUUCUGGAUCGCACGUGUGCUACACCUAUAAAGUCAACGAGUUCAUAUCCUUUAUCGAAAGAUAUGGGUAAUCUUUUGAAACUUCAUCGUGAUGGGAAUAGAGCAUUGCAAUUAUUGCUCUUCAACAAGGAAUCCCUAGUAAGCACAAGUUAUCAGCUUGUGUUGAUUACAUCUCUACCCUUUGUACACACCGCCUGUCGCUACUACCGAUUGAAUGGCUUAGUGAGACCCUCAGAUUAGUAUUCAGAAGCUUUAACUGGCAUCUGUUUGCUGAGAAGUUGGUUAAACUUGAUCAUUUAGAGGAAGUAAAAGUCAUAAUAAGGUUUCCAUAGGUGAACCUGCGAAAGGAUCAUUA